AAAAGAUGGAGAACAAUACAUACGCAAAAAUCGAUCAAACGCUGAGAAUUUUUUUGUUGAAAUGCAAAUCGACAUUACAUGCAAAAUAACCAAAUUGGCGCAACGACAAACGACUUGGCCGAAAGAAAAGUGCCAACGCGCGUUUAUGUAACCCCAAAAUGUGUGUGUGCCAGCAGCGUGUAUGUGUGCGAGUGCCUCGGCACAAAGAAGAAUGCGCAAAGAGAAGAAUGCGAAAGCAAAACGGAAUUGAAAAUGGCGGGGGUGGGAGAACAUGCCGGCAGACGCAACAACAACAUGUUUGACCGUGACGUAGUUUAGUUGUUGCGCCUGUCUGCGGGAAAGUGGGCGGGGUGGCCCGAUAGAGGGGAACGGAUGCGGUUUAGCCUGAUAAUCUUCAAAUGAAUAAACGUAUACUUUUGCUUUGGAGGCUGUGCAAGUUCACUUGAGAUUACCCAAUUAUCAAUAUGUCACGUUGCCACAAAAACGAAACAAGACGGGUGCCGUCCGUCUGUCUCUGUCUAGCCGAAGAACAGUUUUGGUGCUACAGGGGACACUCAAAAUCUUGAAUAUAAGUUAAAGUAGUCUGGACUCGAAGAUUGUUUGGGGGCAACUAGUUUAAAGUUUGAAAAAGUUCAUUUCUUUUGUACGUCAACGACGGUUAACAUAUUCAGUCUUAACCAGACUUAGGGUGUAGUAAAUUAUAUCCAUUUAGUGAUGACGUUAUUUUAUACAUAGGUUGUUAAGCUGUUAUUCAAACUAUAGAAAUCGUAUUAUCAAGGGACUAAUUUAAAUAUUUUAAAGGGCAUAUCAAAUUUUGAAAAUUUGUGUUUUUUUUUUAGCGAUAGCAAGGGGUACGCUCCCUAGGGUUCUAUACUUUUCUAAUCGAAUUCCGAACCAACGGAUAUGAACCUGGGAAGUACUUACAUACAUAACAUACAGAUGAUUCAAGGGGUCUUGAGGUACAUAUACAAAGUGUUGUUGUAAAUCUAACUCUAAUUUGCGCCACUUGAAAAACAGUUCGCCUUAGAGAGUGGCCACUGUACGUGAGCAAAUGAGCGAGAAUGAAUGCACAAAGCAUUUUUCUUUGGCUUAGGCGCGAAUGAGUGUGUAUGCGUUGCCAUUUUUUGUUGCUGCGUUGUUGUUGUGCGGUGCAUUGUGGGUGGGAGGUAGUGGGUGGUGGGGCGGCUGGGUGACCGCUGAUUGAGAUUGAGUAGGCUGGCCAGCCAGAGCGCAUGUUUAUUAAUCAGCGGCUUUGUCUUUUCGCCUGCAUUUCUUUCGCCAGGGCGAUGCAGUGGUGGGUGGAAGUGGGAUGGCUAGAGAUGGCGUGCAGGUAAACACGUUGGGUAAAAAAAGAGGGGCUGAUAGUGGGAGGAGGGGCAGCAUAAAGGUAUUAUGACUGCGCAGUCAAUGUUCACAUGUAUGCAUAUCUAUGCUUUGUCGAUUAUUUUGUGCAUAAGUUUUCUUACGUAUGCAUGUGUAUCUUUUGUGCGUUGUACGCGUGUGUGUGUGUUUGUGCGGAUGAUGCGCGCGCUAUAAUAUUGUUAUAGAUACAUUUUGGUAUCAAAUAACCUGAAAUUACAACAUGCAGCAAACACAUACAUACACACACACAAACACAUGUUGCCGUGUUUGUCACAAUUGAAGGCCGGCAAUAACAACAACGCAGGCAAAAGGCAAGAACGAGAAGCAAGCAGCAUUGCCAGCUGAAGAGAUUAAAAAAUUCAGGUGCUGCUGCUACUUUCAGGAUGAAAAGAUCGUUCUGUGUGCGGCAUUGUAGUGCAAUAAAUAAUUUUGUUUUAAACUAUAACUUGUAAUAUUUACUAAUUGUCAAUUAAAACUGCAUUUCAAGGAAGCCAACAGUGGGCUAAGGCGCAAAAAUGCGCGCACAUGGCAACACUGGCGUCACAUACAUAUACACACUCAUACAAAGAAUUUGCUUAUGGCGAUCAAUUUCUUUUUUUUGUUCUUUUCUUGUUGAUGCGGCUCUGCUCUUCUUCUUCUAGCGCUCCUCAUGUUGUAUGGCAUUUAUACACAAAUUGAAACUAGAUUUACAUGAUGGAUGCACUUACACACAAACAAUGGGCCUAAUUUUUAAUUUUAAUUUAAGUUUAUGGCGCGUUUUUUGUCUUACCUGAUUUACUUUGCGUGCGCGUCGCUCCAGUUCUAUUCUCUUCUCCAUCGCAGCCGCAGUUGUUUGUUUAUUUUGUAUAUUUGGUUCUUUUCCCUGCACUUUUAUUGUGUUUUGUGUGUUUGCCUUCUUUUCUCAGCGCACGCACCAAAGGCAAAAAAGACUCGCACUCACACACGGGCGCGCUCGCACACGCUCACUCACACAGACGCGCAGCCUUGCAAAUUUUUCCUUUUGAGCUUCUUUCGGUAACUUGGAUGCCGCUUUUCCCACUUUUCGUAUGUUUGUGUGGCUAAAAAAGAAAACAGUAAGGGAGUGAGAAAGUUAGUUGCUGCACAUGACGCGCCUUUUCAAACCAGCUUUUACCGAACAAUUCGAAGGUUUUCCGACAUUUAACACGUUACCGGCCGAAGGAAAUGUUUAUGCUGCUAGCACGCACUCACCUGGCGAUGCUGAAUUUUUAAACACUCGGAAUCAAUUUUUAAUUGUAUUUUCAACCAAAGCAAAUAGAGGUGGGGAACCGUCGAUGCCAACAUCCA